GAUGAAGAACGUAGCAAAAUGCGAUAAGUAAUGUGAAUUGCAGAAUUCAGUGAAUCAUCGAAUCUUUGAACGCACAUUGCGCCCUCCAGUAUUCUGGCGGGCAUGCCUGUUCGAGCGUCAUUUCAACCCUCAAGCUCAGCUUGGUGUUGGGACUCGCGGUAACCCGCGUUCCCCAAAUCGAUUGGCGGUCACGUCGAGCUUCCAUAGCGUAGUAAUCAUACACCUCGUUACUGGUAAUCGUCGCGGCCACGCCGUAAAACCCCAACUUCUGAAUGUUGACCUCGGAUCAGGUAGGAAUACCCGCUGAACUUAAGCAUAUCAAUAAGCGGAGGA
rnacentral:misc_RNA from 1 species